rnacentral:misc_RNA from 1 species
GAUGAAGAACGCAGCGAAAUGCGAUAAGUAAUGUGAAUUGCAGAAUUCAGUGAAUCUUCGAAUCUUUGAACGCACAUUGCGCCCGCUAGUAUUCUGGCGGGCAUGCCUGUCCGAGCGUCAUUUCAACCCUCAAGCCCCCGGGCUUGGUGUUGGGGAUCGGCGAGCCUCCGCGCCCGCCGUCCCCUAAAUCUAGUGGCGGUCUCGCUGUAGCUUCCUCUGCGUAGUAGCACACCUCGCACUGGGAAACAGCGCGGCCACGCCGUUAAACCCCCAACUUCUGUACGUUUGACCUCGGAUCAGGUAGGAAUACCCGCUGAACUUAAGCAUAUCAAUAAGCGGAGGA